AGGUGUUCUUAAGGCAUCCGCCAAAAGAAUUAAACGGGAAGUCGGUGCGUUUUAAUAUGUUAGAACAAUGCCGACACUGCCCCCGCAACGGUAAAUGAGAGAAGGGUUUGCUUAACGCCACUGUGCUUAGCCAUGGGAAGGUGCAAAUCUAGGAGUAAUCCGCUCAUGAGUCCGGAGACCGGCCUAAAGAUAA
rnacentral:ncRNA from 1 species